rnacentral:rRNA from 1 species
GACGAACGCUGGCGGCGUGCCUAAUACAUGCAAGUAGAACGCACAGUUUAUACCGUAGCUUGAUACACCAUAGACUGUGAGUUGCGAACGGGUGAGUAACGCGUAGGUAACCUGCCUGGUAGCGGGGGAUAACUAUUGGAAACGAUAGCUAAUACCGCAUAAUAUUGAUUAUUGCAGGAUAAUUGAUUGAAAGAUGCUAUGGCAUCACUACCAGAUGGAGCUGCGUUGUAUUAGCUAGUAGGUGAGGUAACGGCUCACCUAGGCGACGAUACAUAGCCGACCUGAGAGGGUGAUCGGCCACACUGGGACUGAGACACGGCCCAGACUCCUACGGGAGGCAGCAGUAGGGAAUCUUCGGCAAUGGACGAAAGUCUGACCGAGCACCGCCGCGUGAGUGAAGAAGGUGUUCGGAUCGUAAAGCUCUGUUGUCAGAGAUGCACGGGUGUGAGAGUGGAAAGUUCACUCUGUGCCGGUAUCUUACCAGAAAGGGACGGCUAACUCCGUG